GCCUAGUUUGUGCCGGCCAUUGAAACAUGGCUCCUAUGUCUCUGCCUUCUGCUGGGGUGUGCGGCUUUUGGGAGCGCCUGCCCAUGCCCGGCAUAAUUGUCGGCGAGGUUGACGGUGUUAGGGUAUAAGUCAUCUCAGCACUGUUUGUUGUGGUGCCUCCCAGGAGACUCUCCAGGCCUUGCAGCGUGCAGUAGGCCCCGGUUUUGUGUUUCUGUCUUGCUGACUUUGGUG